rnacentral:rRNA from 1 species
AUUGAACGCUGGCGGCAGGCCUAACACAUGCAAGUCGAACGAGUGGCGGACGGGUGAGUAAUGUCUGGGAAACUGCCUGGUGGUGGGGGAUAACUCCGGUAAACGGUAGCUAAUACCGCAUACCAUCAGAUGUGCCCAGAUGGGCUUAGCUUGUGGGUGGGGUAACGGCUCACCAAGGAGACGAUCCAUAGCUGGUCUGAGAGUAUGACCAGCCACACUGGAACUGAGACACGGUCCAGACUCUUACGGGAGGCAGCAGUGGGGAAUACUGCACAAUGGGCGCAAGCCUGAUGCAGCCAUGCCGCGUGUAUGAAGAAGGCCUUCGGGUUGUAAAGUACGUUCAGCGGGGAGGCGUUACCCGCAGAAGAAGCACCGGCUAACUCCGUGCCAGCAGCCGCGGUAAUUC